GAUGAACGCUGGCGGCGUGCCUAAUACAUGCAAGUCGAGCGAACAGAUAAGGAGCUUGCUCCUUUGACGUUAGCGGCGGACGGGUGAGUAACACGUGGGUAACCUACCUAUAAGACUGGAAUAACUCCGGGAAACCGGGGCUAAUGCCGGAUAACAUUUAGAACCGCAUGGUUCUAAAGUGAAAGAUGGUUUUGCUAUCACUUAUAGAUGGACCCGCGCCGUAUUAGCUAGUUGGUAAGGUAACGGCUUACCAAGGCAACGAUACGUAGCCGACCUGAGAGGGUGAUCGGCCACACUGGAACUGAGACACGGUCCAGACUCCUACGGGAGGCAGCAGUAGGGAAUCUUCCGCAAUGGGCGAAAGCCUGACCGAGCAACGCCGCGUGAGUGAUGAAGGUCUUCGGAUCGUAAAACUCUGUUAUUAGGGAAGAACAAAUGUGUAAGUAGCUGUGCACGUCUUGACGGUACCUAAUCAGAAAGCCACGGCUAACUACGUG
rnacentral:rRNA from 1 species